CACGUAGGGCGCAAGCGUUGUCCGGAAUUAUUGGGCGUAAAGAGCUCGUAGGUGGUUUGUUACGUCUGCUGUGAAAACCUAGGGCUUAACCCUGGGCUUGCAGUGGAUACGGGCAGACUAGAGGUAGGUAGGGGAGAAUGGAAUUCCUGGUGUAGCGGUGAAAUGCGCAGAUAUCAGGAGGAACACCGGUGGCGAAGGCGGCCCACUGGUCCGGUACUGACGCUGAGGUGCGAAAGCGUGGGGAGCAAACAGG
rnacentral:rRNA from 1 species